AGCGAGCGGAACUAACAGAUUUACUUCGGUAAUGACGUUAGGAAAGCGAGCGGCGGAUGGGUGAGUAACACGUGGGGAACCUGCCCCAUAGUCUGGGAUACCACUUGGAAACAGGUGCUAAUACCGGAUAAGAAAGCAGAUCGCAUGAUCAGCUUUUAAAAGGCGGCGUAAGCUGUCGCUAUGGGAUGGCCCCGCGGUGCAUUAGCUAGUUGGUAAGGUAAAGGCUUACCAAGGCGAUGAUGCAUAGCCGAGUUGAGAGACUGAUCGGCCACAUUGGGACUGAGACACGGCCCAAACUCCUACGGGAGGCAGCAGUAGGGAAUCUUCCACAAUGGACGCAAGUCUGAUGGAGCAACGCCGCGUGAGUGAAGAAGGUUUUCGGAUCGCAAAGCUCUGUUGUUGGUGAAGAAGGAUAGAGGUAGUAACUGGCCUUUAUUUGACGGUAAUCAACCAGAAAGUCACGGCUAACUACGUGCCAGCAGCCGCGGUAAUACGUAGGUGGCAAGCGUUGUCCGGAUUUAUUGGGCGUAAAGCGAGCGCAGGCGGAAGAAUAAGUCUGAUGUGAAAGCCCUCGGCUUAACCGAGGAACUGCAUCGGAAACUGUUUUUCUUGAGUGCAGAAGAGGAGAGUGGAACUCCAUGUGUAGCGGUGGAAUGCGUAGAUAUAUGGAAGAACACCAGUGGCGAAGGCGGCUCUCUGGUCUGCAACUGACGCUGAGGCUCGAAAACAUGGGUAGUGAACAGGAUUAGAUACCCUGGUAAUCCAUGCCGUANACGAUGAGUGCUAAGUGUUGGGAGGUUUCCGCCUCUCAGUGCUGCAGCUAACGCAUUAAGCACUCCGCCUGGGGAG
rnacentral:rRNA from 1 species